UACAGAGGUCUCAAGCGUUGUUCGGAUUCAUUGGGCGUAAAGGGUGCGUAGGUGGCGCCGUAAGUCAGGUGUGAAAUUUCGGAGCUUAACUCCGAAACUGCAUUUGAUACUGCGGUGCUUGAGGACUGGAGAGAAGACUGGAAUUUACGGUGUAGCAGUGAAAUGCGUAGAGAUCGUAAGGAAGACCAGUGGCGAAGGCGGGUCUCUGGACAGUUCCUGACACUGAGGCACGAAGGCCAGGGGAGCAAACGGG
rnacentral:rRNA from 1 species